rnacentral:sRNA from 1 species
GAAAACAGAGCAGGUCAAAACUCUUGUGCUGAUCAACUGGGA